GAUGAACGCUGGCGGCGUGCCUAAUACAUGCAAGUCGAGCGAACAGAUAAGGAGCUUGCUCCUUUGACGUUAGCGGCGGACGGGUGAGUAACACGUGGAUAACCUACCUAUAAGACUGGGAUAACUUCGGGAAACCGGAGCUAAUACCGGAUAACAUAUUGAACCGCAUGGUGCAAUAGUGAAAGGCGGCUUUGCUGUCACUGAUAGAUGGAUCCGCGCCGGAUUAGCUAGUUGGUAAGGUAACGGCUUACCAAGGCAACGAUACGUAGCCGACCUGAGAGGGUGAUCGGCCACACUGGAACUGAGACACGGUCCAGACUCCUACGGGAGGCAGCAGUAGGGAAUCUUCCGCAAUGGGCGAAAGCCUGACGGAGCAACGCCGCGUGAGUGAUGAAGGUCUUCGGAUCGUAAAACUCUGUUAUCAGGGAAGAGCAAAUGUGUAAGUAACUGUGCACAUCUUGACGGUACCUGAUCAGAAAGCCACGGCUAACUACGUG
rnacentral:rRNA from 1 species